rnacentral:rRNA from 1 species
AUACCGCAUACGCCCUACGGGGGAAAGCAGGGGAUCUUCGGACCUUGCGCUAAUAGAUGAGCCUAAGUCGGAUUAGCUAGUUGGUGGGGUAAAGGCCUACCAAGGCGACGAUCUGUAGCGGGUCUGAGAGGAUGAUCCGCCACACUGGGACUGAGACACGGCCCAGACUCCUACGGGAGGCAGCAGUGGGGAAUAUUGGACAAUGGGCGGAAGCCUGAUCCAGCCAUGCCGCGUGUGUGAAGAAGGCCUUUUGGUUGUAAAGCACUUUAAGCGAGGAGGAGGCUCCUUUAGUUAAUACCUAAAGUGAGUGGACGUUACUCGCAGAAUAAGCACCGGCUAACUCUGUGCCAGCAGCCGCGGUAAUACAGAGGGUGCGAGCGUUAAUCGGAUUUACUGGGCGUAAAGCGUGCGUAGGCGGCUUUUUAAGUCGGAUGUGAAAUCCCUGAGCUUAACUUAGGAAUUGCAUUCGAUACUGGAAAGCUAGAGUAUGGGAGAGGAUGGUAGAAUUCCAGGUGUAGCGGUGAAAUGCGUAGAGAUCUGGAGGAAUACCGAUGGCGAAAGCAGCCAUCUGGCCUAAUACUGACGCUGAGGUACGAAAGCAUGGGGAGCAAACAGGAUUAGAUACCCUGGUAGUCCAUGCCG